rnacentral:misc_RNA from 1 species
GAGCUGCUUCCCGGCCUCUGUCUGAAAUUGAGAAGGUAAAAUUAAUGGAUAAAUAACUUCCCAAAAUAUGCAAAACUACAUAUUUUGACCAAAUUAUACAAAAUGAUCCUUUUCAAAGGUAAAAGAGGCAUCAUUUGAAUCUAAUUCAAACAAUUUAUGAUUAUUUUCCUACAGAAACCAAAAGAUAUAUAAUCUAGAAAUAUACUUUAGGAUUACAAUAAAAUGGACAAAUCGAAUAGGAUUGAUUUGCACAAACGAGAAGAUAAAGAGAGGUCCAUCCGUACCUAAAACCACUUGUGUGUGUGUGUGUGUGUG